rnacentral:rRNA from 1 species
AUUGAACGCUGGCGGCAGGCCUAACACAUGCAAGUCGAACGAGUGGCGGACGGGUGAGUAAUGUCUGGGAAACUGCCCGAUGGAGGGGGAUAACUACUGGAAACGGUAGCUAAUACCGCAUACCAUCGGAUGUGCCCAGAUGGGCUUAGCUAGUAGGUGGGGUAACGGCUCACCUAGGCGACGAUCCCUAGCUCGUCUGAGAGGAUGACCAGCCACACUGGAACGUAGACACGGUCCAGACUCCUACGUGAGGCAGCAGUGGGGAAUAUUGCACAAUGGGCGAAAGCCUGAUUCAGUCAUGCCGCGUGUAUGAAGAAGGCCUUCGGGUUUUAAAGUACUUUCAGCGAGGAGGCGUUACUCGAAGAAGAAGCACCGGCUAACUCCGUGCCAGCCGCCGCGGUAAUUG